CAGGUGUGUCCAGAAAGAGUGCACCCUCCGCCCUCAUGUAUACAAACACAUUAACCUUUCCCCUGGCCAGACGAAGACUGUGAAGUAUUUCUAAAAAAUUGGGUGUCCUCGUUACCAAGAGCUGUGGCUUGAUGUUUAUUUCGUCCCUGAAAGUUGGCAAAGGGACAAACCUUUACGGGGUUGCACACAAAAUGUGCUUUUGCCCAUUUGGGUAUUUAACAGGGGAGCUGAUGUUCUGGUGGAUGGGUUUUGAUGAGGAGAUAAGGGCAGCUUCCCAUUUUGGCAGUGGAGGAAUGUUCACCAUAUUUGGAUUUGCUUCACUUCUUGGACACAGAUUCCCAAAGCUCAUGUGAACGUUGGUGAUGGUUCAGAGAGAAAAUUGCAGGCCUCACCCACAGCCUUGACAGCGUAGUUUCUUGGAAUCAAGAGUCAACACUGGGCUAUUUCCAAAGAUUAAAUCUUGAAAGCUCGGUGGGAGGCUGUAGCAGGAGGGCAGAGAUGUCCACACACUCAGAUAUGAAAAAUGGUCUUCCACUAGGAAGUCUUCCUCUUCAGCUAAGGCCCUGGAAGUAGUGAAGAGAAAGGGGCCCUUUCUGACCAUGCUCACAGGGAUGGAUUAAACAGGCCCUAUUUUUGCAAGAAAUGGAGCUGCACAGGGUGGCCAGCUCAUCAUCAGCUGCUCAUGUCACCCUGUUGGGGGCUGUCACCUGUAUGUGGGUCAGGCCCAGCCCAGGGCACGCAGAGUGGAAGCUGCAAUGCUGCCCUCCUUCACUCGCCAAGCAGUAUGUAUUGGGUGUCACCAUGGCCACCUAGACUAUCUGACUCCUCCUUCUAAUCUGCACCAAGGUGCCUUGUAUGGGCAAUGCCAGUACUGACUGUCCCACCCUGUUCCCCAUGCCUGUCCAGAGUUACUGUCCUGACUUUGGGUGAAUUAACAAUGCUCAUGAACUAAUUAUGUUUAAUGUAAAAGAUGAGCUAUUUUAUCUCAAUUUUAGAUAAUUUUAUAGAUGAACAUAAAAAUAUUACCAUUUAUGUGAAGUAUGCAUGUAUAUAUAAAAGUGUGUGUAUAUAUAGAUAUAUAGAUAGUUGGAUAUACAUUUUUAUGUAUCAGAAGUUAGGACAACUUUAAAAAAUAAAAGAAGUCAAGAUGAUUUAAAUUUGGUAACUUUAAAAUAAAAAAAGCUGUUCUGCAGUUUGGAAUCAGUUUUAUAUAUGGAUUUCUGGGCUUCACAGAAAUAUGUACUAUUUGAUUCCAUUUCAGCAGAUAGCCAUGAAGUGCCAGUCGCUGUACUAAACAAUAUGUAUAGAGUAAAGAAAAAUGAUGCAAACACCCUGUGUCUACCUAGUAAUCUAGUAAGGCAGGCAAAUGAUAAGGUCCCAAAUAGAUUUGCAGCUGUAAAUUAUGAUGAGAACUAUGAGAGAAAUGCUAAGAUGGAGAAUAACAAAGCAGAUCUAUUUCAGAUUAUGUGACUGGUAAAAUCCUCAAGUGAAACCCGAGGAGUGAGUUGGAAGGAGUUUAUGAAGGUGAAUUAAAUGGAAGGAAUUGGUUAAAUGGGUAACAAGAAUCACAGGAAGCUGCUCCCAUCCCUAACUUCUGGGGAGCCAGAAAAAUUGAAGAUGGUACAAGCGGAAGCUUCUGGGGAGCCCCUGAGGACCUGUGGAGACACUUGCUGUCCAGUUGCUUCUGGUCCCUGAGGUGCUGAUGUGGAGUUAAUGGUAGGAGGCCUGAGAAAGCUGGGUGCUAGAACCAUGUGAUGUACCUCGAGGGGAAGCAUCCCUUCCUGAGGGUGGCCUAACAAAUACCACAGAACUAGAUGGUUGAAAACAACAGAAAUCCACUGUCUUAUAGGUGUGGAGGUUAAAAAUCUCAAAUUAGGUGAUUUUUUUUUUUUUUUUUUUUUUUUUCCUGAGGGAUAGAAGGGAGACUGUCUGGGCCUUCUAGCUUCUAGUAGCCUCCACCAUUGAUAUGUAGGUAGGGUUCUCUCCACUUCUCCCAUGGAUGUGUCUGCCUUCAUGUGCAAAUUUACCUUGUUGAAAGGACAACAGCCGGAUUAGGAUGCAGCCUAAUGACUUCCUCUUAAUUAGCUGCAAAGCCCCUAUUCCCAAAUAAGGUUAAAUCCACAGAUAUUGGCAAUUAGGACGUCAGCAUCAUCCAUAACACAAGACAAGAGGUUAGAAAGGAACACAUGCUAAGUAUCAACAGAGCUCUGGAGACUGGAGAACCUACCUAAGAUGUGGGGCUGGACUUCCAAAAGAGGCUAUCUUGGUAUUGGCAGGUGACAGUGCCUGCACCUGUAGCCAGCCACAGUACUAUCAGUUUUGAAUACAUUUUCCUUCGAUGGAAUUGGAGGGUGAGCUAAUGGGACCAGAGUGUGUGCAGAAAUAUCACCAAAUCGCAAAAUAAUGGAAAACAGUCUACAUCACGAAUUACCCCAUAAACAGAAUGAUCACAGAUCCUUUGUGUUAUGAAAGCCCCACGUGUGCAUUUCUCUAAAUGAAAGUCUCCUGAACUUAAACCCAUGGACAUUUUAAAGAAAAUGCAGUAAGCCAAUGCUUCCUUGGCUAAAAACGUGUCUGUGCUCUGCAAACAAUGAACAGAACCCAGGAAGGGAGAUGCAGACCGCCUGCUGAGCCAGUCCUAGUUCUCUUCCCUGGAAAUCUUGUCCUUGCACAGAACUUCUGGAAACCAAUAAAAGAAAACUAAUGUGCUACCCAGAGCAGAGAAAAUGGAAAUCUGCUGAGUUAAUAUUGUGGGUCAUAAAAGUCACUCAAAGAGAAUUCUUUCAAUAAGGUGCCUACCAUAGUGGUUAUAUAAUUCUUCCAUGAAACUUACUUUUCUCUUUCUGAAAAGAAGUUUUGUUUUUUCUCUCAAAGAAUAAUGGUACUGCUUAACAUCCCCAGAACACAAUGUGAAUGAGCUUUUAAAAUUUUAUUCUAAUUACAAGAGAAAUAUAUUCUGAGUAUAGAAGAUGAGGAACAUAGAGAAAACCCUGAAGGAAUCAAACAACCCUAUUGUGAGAUAAAACUCAGGUAACAUUUUGGGAUAUUUAACAAUGUCUAUUGCCUUGACGCCAAAAAGUCGGCAUUAUUGUCGAACAUUAUUAUUAUUAAAGUUUGGAUGUAUUUCAUUUGAAUGAUGGCUAUAAAUAAAUUUUAAGCAGAAAGCAAAAAUGACUUUUCUUUUGAUUCCAGGGCCUUCUCAUUAAACUACAUCCUCAAUCCUUUCUUGUUUUCUUAUUUUGAGUCAGAGCCUUGCUAAACUGCCAUGCUGUUUAAAUUGGACUCAAAACAUGCAAUCCUCCUGCCUUACCCUUCCAAAAUAUUGGAAUUACAGGCAUGCAUUGGAAUCACAGGCAUUUAAAUUUUAAAACAGAUACAGCAACACCUGUAAAGAACAGUUGGGCAUUAUGCUCUUGAAAUUUUUGAAAAACUAGAUGCUUAGUUAAUGCUUCCUUUACUUAAAAUAUUUUAGUCUCUGUGUUGGAAUUGCCCUCAAAACUGGUAUAUGAGCCAAAACACAAAAGCAUCUUGUCAUUUUAUAGCCUAAAUGCUUCUUUAAAACCAGUUCUUUUUCUUGUCCUUCCCUACUCCCUCUUUUACAUAUUUGAUUUGUUUUUCAGGUCAUCUUCACCUGGAGAAGCAAAGCAGAGCUAUUUUCAGAUCAGUUGUGAAGAUAGGCUCAGCUUCAGCUAUUUCUACUGAUGGGAAAUGCUAUCUUGCAUAAAUAUUCCAUAAUUAUAUGCUAGUCAUUGUAUCCAGACUGUGCAGUAUGUCUGUUCCUCUCACAUUUGCAGAAGAGCAGCUCAGCAGCUACAAAACUGACAAAUUCAAAAUGUAGUUUUUAGUAACCUAAUGAUGGAGGUAAACUUUUCACCUUCAGCUUUUUCUCCUUUGGAGGUUAGUCAUUUCAAGCACAGAAGUUGCAAGAUUUCUUUGGAAGACUGAAGAUGCAGGGAAGU
rnacentral:lncRNA from 1 species